rnacentral:rRNA from 1 species
UACGUAGGGUGCAAGCGUUGUUCGGAAUCACUGGGCGUAAAGGGCGCGUAGGCGGGUUUGUAAGUCGAUUGUGAAAGCCCAGGGCUUAACCCUGGAACUGCAGUCGAAACUACAGAUCUUGAAUGUCUGAGAGGGUGGGAGAAUUCCUGGUGUAGUAGUGAAAUACGUAGAUAUCAGGAGGAAUACCGGUGGCGAAGGCGCCUACCUGGCAGAACAUUGACGCUGAGGCGCGAAAGCGUGGGGAUCAAAC